CGCGUAGGCGGCCUUGUAAGUCUCGUGUGAAAGCCCUCGGCUUAACUGAGGAUCUGCACGGGAUACUGCGAGGCUUGAGUUCGGGAGAGGAAAGCGGAAUUCCGGGUGUAGCGGUGAAAUGCGUAGAUAUCCGGAGGAACACCAGUGGCGAAGGCGGCUUUCUGGACCGACACUGACGCUGAUGCGCGAAAGCUAGGGAGCAAAACG
rnacentral:rRNA from 1 species